rnacentral:rRNA from 1 species
CAAGAAAUUAAGAGUUUAUGGGGGAUACCUUGGCAUUCAAAAGCGAAGAAGGACGUGGUUACCGACGAUACGCUUCGGGGAGUUGGAAACAAGCUAAGAUCCGGAGGUUUCCGAAUGAGGAAACUUUAAAAACUACUUAUUGAAUAUAUAAAUAAGAAAGAGCAAACCUAGGGAACUGAAACAUCUUAGUACCUAGAGGAAAAGAAAGUAAUAACGAUUCUCUGAGUAGCGGCGAGCGAAACGGGAAAAGCCUAAACUUAAAUUUAAGGGUAGUGGGACUUUUAUCAAAGAUUAAAAAUGACAAUUAGAUGAAUAAGUUGGAAUACUUAACCAUAGA